UGCUGAGGUAGUCUAGACCGGUAAGGCGCAGGCCUGGAAAGCCUGUGGGGCGUCCAGCCCCUCGGGAGUUCAAAUCUCCCCCUCAGCGU
rnacentral:tRNA from 1 species